CCUACGGGAGGCAGCAGUGGGGAAUCUUGCGCAAUGCGCGAAAGCGUGACGCAGCAACGCCGCGUGGGGGAAGACGGCCUUCGGGUUGUAAACCUCUUUCAGUUGGGACGAAGCCUCGUCGGUUAACAGCCGUUCGAGGUGACGGUACCUUUAGAAGAAGCCCCGGCUAACUACGUGCCAGCAGCCGCGGUAAUACGUAGGGGGCAAGCGUUGUCCGGAAUUAUUGGGCGUAAAGAGCGCGUAGGCGGUCCGGUAAGUCUGCUGUGAAAGUCAAGGGCUCAACCCUUGGAUGCCGGUGGAUACUGCCGGGCUAGAGUCCGGAAGGGGCGAGUGGAAUUCCUGGUGUAGCGGUGAAAUGCGCAGAUAUCAGGAGGAACACCUAUGGCGAAGGCAGCUCGCUGGGACGGUACUGACGCUGAGGCGCGAAAGCGUGGGUAGCG
rnacentral:rRNA from 1 species